AGUGAACGCUGGCGGCAGGCCUAACACAUGCAAGUCGAACGGCAGCACGGCAGUAGCAAUACUGUGGGUGGCGAGUGGCGGACGGGUGAGGAAUACAUCGGGAUCUACCCUGUUGUGGGGGAUAACGUAGGGAAACUUACGCUAAUACCGCAUAAGAACUGAGGUUGAAAGCGGCGGACCGCAAGGCGUCGCGCGAUUGGAUGAACCGAUGUCCGAUUAGCUAGUUGGCGGGGUAAAGGCCUACCAAGCCUGCGAUCGGUAACUGGUCUGAGAGGACGACCAGUCACACUGGGACUGAGACACGGCCCAGACUCCUACGGGAGGCAGCAGUGGGGAAUUUUGGACAAUGGGCGCAAGCCUGAUCCAGCAAUGCCGCGUGUGUGAAGAAGGCCUUCGGGUUGUAAAGCACUUUUGGCGGGAGCGAAACGGCGUUUGCUAAUACCAGACGCUAAUGACGGUACCCGCAGAAUAAGCACCGGCUAACUACGUG
rnacentral:rRNA from 1 species